AGAGUUUGAUCCUGGCUCAGAACGAACGCUGGCGGCGUGCCUAACACAUGCAAGUCGAACGGAGAUAAGGGGCUUGCUCCUUAUUUUAGUGGCGCACGGGUGAGUAACGCGUGGAUAAUCUACCUUGGAAUCUGGGAUAACAUCUCGAAAGGGGUGCUAAUACCGGAUAAGACCACGAGCUCUUUGGAGUUUGCGGUAAAAGGGGGCCUCUGUAUAUGCUUCUGUUUCAAGAUGAGUCCGCGUACCAUUAGCUAGUUGGUGGGGUAAAGGCCUACCAAGGCGACGAUGGUUAGCUGGUCUGAGAGGAUGAUCAGCCACACUGGAACUGAGACACGGUCCAGACUCCUACGGGAGGCAGCAGUGGGGAAUUUUGCGCAAUGGGGGAAACCCUGACGCAGCAACGCCGCGUGAGUGAUGAAGGCCUUCGGGUCGUAAAGCUCUGUCAGAGGGAAAGAAGUGUACGGCGGUUAAUACCCGUUGUACUUGACGGUACCCUCAAAGGAAGCACCGGCUAACUCCGUGCCAGCAGCCGCGGUAAUACGGAGGGUGCGAGCGUUGUUCGGAAUUAUUGGGCGUAAAGCGCGUGUAGGCGGUCUUUUAAGUCUGAUGUGAAAGCCCCGGGCUCAACCUGGGAAGUGCAUUGGAAACUGGGAGACUUGAAUACGGGAGAGGGUAGUGGAAUUCCUGGUGUAGGAGUGAAAUCUGUAGAUAUCGGGAGGAACACCCGUGGCGUAAGCGGCUCUCUGGACAAUAUCUGACGCUGAGCUGCGAAAGCUAGGGGAGCAAACAGGAUUAGAUACCCUGGUAGUCCUAGCCGUAAACGAUGAGCACUAGGUGUCGGGGGUU
rnacentral:rRNA from 1 species